GGGGCUGUAGCUCAGCUGGGAGAGCGCGACGCUGGCAGCGUUGAGGUCAGGGGUUCGAGCCCCCUCAGCUCCA
rnacentral:tRNA from 1 species